UACGAAGGGGGGCUAGCGUUGUUCGGAAUUACUGGGCGUAAAAGCGCACGUAGGCGGCUUUGUAAGUUAGAGGUGAAAGCCCAGGGCUUAACCCUGGAAUUGCCUUUAAGACUGCAUCGCUAGAAUCGUGGAGAGGUGAGUGGAAAUUCCGAGUGUAGAGGUGAAAUUCGUAGAUAUUCGGAAGAACACCAGUGGCGAAGGCGACUCACUGGACACGUAUUGACGCUGAGGUGCGAAAGCGUGGGGAGCAAACAGG
rnacentral:rRNA from 1 species